AGCACCCGCGGUAAUUCCAGCUCCAAUAGCGUAUAUUAAAGUUGUUGCAGUUAAAAAGCUCGUAGUUGAAUUUCGGGGUCAGUAGGUCGGUCGUGCCACUGGUAUGAACUGGUUUUACUGAUUCCUCCCUCUUGAAGAACUGUAAUGCCAUUAAUUUGGUGUUGCAGGGAAUCAGGACUGUUACUUUGAAAAAAUUAGAGUGUUUAAAGCAGGCUUUAGCUUGAAUACAUUAGCAUGGAAUAAUGAGAUAGGACGUUUGAUCCUAUUUUGUUGGUUUCUAGGAUUGACGUAAUGAUUAAUAGGGAUAGUUGGGGGCAUUAGUAUUCAAUUGUCAGAGGUGAAAUUCUUGGAUUUAUUGAAGACUAACUACUGCGAAAGCAUUUGCCAAGGAUGUUUUCAUUAAUCAAGAACGAAAGUUAGGGGAUCGAAGAUCGAUCAGAUACUCGUGCGUAGUCCUUGGACCAUAAAUCUAUGCCGACUAGGGAUCGGAUGAUGUUAAUUUUUUAAUGACUCA
rnacentral:rRNA from 1 species